rnacentral:rRNA from 1 species
GAUGAACGCUGGCGGCGUGCCUAAUACAUGCAAGUCGAGCGAACAGAUAAGGAGCUUGCUCCUUUGACGUUAGCGGCGGACGGGUGAGUUACACGUGGAUAACCUACCUAUAAGACUGGGAUAACUUCGGGAAACCGGAGCUAAUACCGGAUAACAUAUUGAACCGCAUGGUUCAAUAGUGAAAGGCGGCUUUGCUGUCACUUAUAGAUGGAUCCGCGCCGUAUUAGCUAGUUGGUAAGGUAACGGCUUACCAAGGCAACGAUACGUAGCCGACCUGAGAGGGUGAUCGGCCACACUGGAACUGAGACGCGGUCCAGACUCCUACGGGAGGCAGCAGUAGGGAAUCUUCCGCAAUGGGCGAAAGCCUGACGGAGCAACGCCGCGUGAGUGAUGAAGGUCUUCGGAUCGUAAAACUCUGUUAUCAGGGAAGAACAAAUGUGUAAGUAACUGUGCACAUCUUGACGGUACCUGAUCAGAAAGCCACGGCUAACUACGUG